rnacentral:rRNA from 1 species
UCGCCAGACUCCUACGGGAGGCAGCAGUGGGGAAUAUUGCACAAUGGGGGAAACCCUGAUGCAGCAACGCCGCGUGAGUGAAGAAGUAUUUCGGUAUGUAAAGCUCUAUCAGCAGGGAAGAAAAUGACGGUACCUGAGUAAGAAGCCCCGGCUAACUACGUGCCAGCAGCCGCGGUAAUACGUAGGGGGCAAGCGUUAUCCGGAUUUACUGGGUGUAAAGGGAGCGUAGACGGCGAUGCAAGUCUGAAGUGAAAGCCCGGGGCUCAACCCCGGGACUGCUUUGGAAACUGUAUGGCUAGAGUGCUGGAGAGGCAAGCGGAAUUCCUAGUGCAGCGGUGAAAUGCGUAGAUAUUAGGAAGAACACCAGUGGCGAAGGCGGCUUGCUGGACAGUAACUGACGUUGAGGCUCGAAAGCGUGGGGAGCAAACAGGAUUAGAUACCCGAGUA